UAUUGAGCUAUGAUAGGACUUAGUAGUUCGCUAUCCCUGUUACAAGAGAGCCGGUGGCUGGUGGAAACCGGUACAAAUAGUUGAAUGAAUUACCUCCUGGAGCUUUUGCUGUGAACAUCAUCUAGUAGCAGCAAACGGAUUAACCGUUAUCUAAAAUGAGUGGAGAACUCUAAUUCUCAAGCUUGGGUGGUACCGCGCAUAAUAGCGUCCCUGCA
rnacentral:ncRNA from 1 species